rnacentral:rRNA from 1 species
AUUGAACGCUGGCGGCAGGCCUAACACAUGCAAGUCGAGCGGAUGAAGGGAGCUUGCUCCUGGAUUCAGCGGCGGACGGGUGAGUAAUGCCUAGGAAUCUGCCUGGUAGUGGGUGAUAACGUCCGGAAACGGGCGCUAAUACCGCAUACGUCCUGAGGGCGAAAGUGGGGGAGCUUCGGACCUCACGCCAUCAGAUGAGCCUAGGUCGGAUUAGCUAGUUGGUGGGGUAAAGGCCUACCAAGGCGACGAUCCGUAACUGGUCUGAGAGGAUGAUCAGUCACACUGGAACUGAGACACGGUCCAGACUCCUACGGGAGGCAGCAGUGGGGAAUAUUGGACAAUGGGCGAAAGCCUGAUCCAGCCAUGCCGCGUGUGUGAAGAAGGUCUUCGGAUUGUAAAGCACUUUAAGUUGGGAAGAAGAGCAGUAAGUUAAUACCUUGCUGUUUUGACGUUACCAACAGAAUAAGCACCGGCUAACUUCGUG